CUAGGGUGACGAGCGGCGGACGGGUGAGUAAUGUCUGGGAAACUGCCUGAUGGAGGGGGAUAACUACUGGAAACGGUAGCUAAUACCGCAUAACGUCGCAAGACAAAGAGGGGGACCUUCGGGCCUCUUGCCAUCAGAUGUGCCCAGAUGGGAUUAGCUAGUANGUGGGGUAACGGCUCACCUAGGCGACGAUCCCUAGCUGGUCUGAGAGGAUGACCAGCCACACUGGAACUGAGACACGGUCCAGACUCCUACGGGAGGCAGCAGUGGGGAAUAUUGCACAAUGGGCGCAAGCCUGAUGCAGCCAUGCCGCGUGUAUGAAGAAGGCCUUCGGGUUGUAAAGUACUUUCAGCGGGGAGGAAGGUGUUGUGGUUAAUAACCACAGCAAUUGACGUUACCCGCAGAAGAAGCACCGGCUAACUCCGUGCCAGCAGCCGCGGUAAUACGGAGGGUGCAAGCGUUAAUCGGAAUUACUGGGCGUAAAGCGCACGCAGGCGGUCUGUCAAGUCGGAUGUGAAAUCCCCGGGCUCAACCUGGGAACUGCAUUCGAAACUGGCAGGCUAGAGUCUUGUAAGGGGGGUAGAAUUCCAGGUGUAACGG
rnacentral:rRNA from 1 species